UACAGAGGUCUCAAGCGUUGUUCGGAUUUAUUGGGUUUAAAGGGUGCGUAGGCGGCCUUGUAAGUCAGUGGUGAAAUACUCUAGCUUAACUAGAGGGGUGCCAUUGAUACUGCAGGGCUUGAGUUAAGUUGAAGUUGGCGGAAUUGACGGUGUAGCGGUGAAAUGCUUAGAUAUCGUCAAGAACACCGAUAGUGAAGACAGCUAACUAAACUUUUACUGACGCUGAGGCACGAAAGUGUGGGGAUCAAACAGG
rnacentral:rRNA from 1 species